rnacentral:rRNA from 1 species
UACGGAGGGGGCUAGCGUUGUUCGGAAUUACUGGGCGUAAAGCGCACGUAGGCGGACUGUUAAGUCGGGGGUGAAAUCCUGGGGCUCAACCCCGGGACUGCGUCCGAUACUUCCGAGCUGGAGGUAGGUAGGGGAGAUCGGAAUUCCUGGUGUAGCGGUGAAAUGCGCAGAUAUCAGGAGGAACACCGGUGGCGAAGGCGGAUCUCUGGGCCUUACCUGACGCUGAGGCGCGAAAGCUAGGGGAGCGAACAGG